AGUGAACGCUGGCGGUAGGCCUAACACAUGCAAGUCGAACGGCAGCACAGUAAGAGCUUGCUCUUACGGGUGGCGAGUGGCGGACGGGUGAGGAAUACAUCGGAAUCUACUUUUUCGUGGGGGAUAACGUAGGGAAACUUACGCUAAUACCGCAUACGACCUACGGGUGAAAGCAGGGGAUCUUCGGACCUUGCGCGAUUGAAUGAGCCGAUGUCGGAUUAGCUAGUUGGCGGGGUAAAGGCCCACCAAGGCGACGAUCCGUAGCUGGUCUGAGAGGAUGAUCAGCCCACUUGGAAUUGGAAACCGGCCCAGCCCCCUAGGGAGGGCACCAUGGGGGAAUUUUGGAAAAUGGGGGAAACCCUGACCCCCCCAUACGCGGGGGGUGAAGAAGGCCUUCGGGUUGUAAAGCCCUUUUUUUGGGAAAAAAAAGCAGCAGGUUAAUCCCCCGCUGUUCUGACGGUACCAAAAAAAUAAGCCCCGGCUAACUUCGU
rnacentral:rRNA from 1 species